rnacentral:rRNA from 1 species
CAGCCGCCGCGGGAAAACGGAGGGUGCAAGCGUUAAUCGGAAUUACUGGGCGUAAAGCGCACGCAGGCGGUCUGACAAGUCAGAUGUGAAAUCCCCGGGCUUAACCUGGGAACUGCAUUUGAAACUGUCAGGCUGGAGUCUUGUAGAGGGGGGUGGAAUUCCAGGUGUAGCGGUGAAAUGCGUAGAGAUCUGGAGGAAUACCGGUGGCGAAGGCGGCCCCCUGGACAAAGACUGACGCUCAGGUGCGAAAGCGUGGGGAGCAAACAGGAUUAGAUACCCCGGUAGUCCCUGUCUCUUAUAC